rnacentral:rRNA from 1 species
UACAGAGGGGGCAAGCGUUGUUCGGAAUUACUGGGCGUAAAGGGCGCGUAGGCGGCCUGCUAAGUCGAACGUGAAAUCCCCGGGCUCAACCCGGGAACUGCGUCCGAUACUGGCAGGCUUGAAUCCGGGAGAGGGAUGUGGAAUUCCAGGUGUAGCGGUGAAAUGCGUAGAUAUCUGGAGGAACACCGGUGGCGAAGGCAGCUCACUAAGGUAUGAUUGACGCUGAUGCACGAAAGCGUGGGGAUCAAACAGG